rnacentral:rRNA from 1 species
UGUGCCAGCCGCCGCGGUAAUACGUAGGGCGCAAGCGUUAUCCGGAUUUAUUGGGCGUAAAGGGCUCGUAGGCGGCUCGUCGCGUCCGGUGUGAAAGUCCAUCGCUUAACGGUGGAUCUGCGCCGGGUACGGGCGGGCUGGAGUGCGGUAGGGGAGACUGGAAUUCCCGGUGUAACGGUGGAAUGUGUAGAUAUCGGGAAGAACACCGAUGGCGAAGGCAGGUCUCUGGGCCGUCACUGACGCUGAGGAGCGAAAGCGUGGGGAGCGAACAGG